rnacentral:misc_RNA from 1 species
AAUUAUCAAUCUUAGGAUUGGACUUGGGAUUUGCUGGCUUUGAGUAGUCAGCUGUCCUUAAAUGUAUUAGCAAGUCAAGUCUUGACGUGCACGGCCUGUCUUCGGUGAUAAAUGAUCCGUUGGUCCGGGCUGGAAGCGUUAUUAGGAAACUUGCUUAUAAUUAUUGUGUAACCAAAAA